rnacentral:rRNA from 1 species
UACGAAGGGGGCUAGCGUUGCUCGGAAUCACUGGGCGUAAAGGGUGCGUAGGCGGGUCUUUAAGUCAGGGGUGAAAUCCUGGAGCUCAACUCCAGAACUGCCUUUGAUACUGAGGAUCUUGAGUCCGGGAGAGGUGAGUGGAACUGCGAGUGUAGAGGUGAAAUUCGUAGAUAUUCGCAAGAACACCAGCGGCGAAGGCGGCGCUCUGGGCCGGUACUGACACUGAGGAGCGAAAGCGUGGGUAGCAAACAGG